rnacentral:lncRNA from 1 species
GUUGUGGCGCAAAAAAAAAAAAAAAAAAGCAUUCGAGAAGGAGCAGUGGCGCCAUCUGUUAUCUACAGGCAAAACAAGCCCUCCACCAUGCUUUGGAAUUUGGAAUGACCGUUUCACUUGACACCCCAUUUGGUUACACACCAUGAAAAGUACACUGGACAUGUGCACCACUUGCAGGCCUCGCCAAUGCCGUCAAAAUACUGCGGGAGAACUAGCAACCGCCAUUAAGAGCAGCUUAAGAAUGAGGCAGCAUGUAGCAGCUACUUUGAUGGCUUCCUGCGGCUGGUGAAGAAAAGGGUUGAGAUGUACGAGUUGCCAGCUGCAGUAAUGUUGGUGCAGGUUGUGUUAAGGGGCUGCAGUAGCUGAAGGAGUGCAAAAAAAAAUGUUUUCAUUUGUUAUAUAUAAAGAGAGCAACUGUGGUCUCUAUCUAUGGAGCACUUCUUUGUGCGUGUAUGCAUGUAUGUGCAAGAGCUUGUAAUUGGUCAGCAAACAGACUGAGAAGUGAUGGGACAUCCAUGUGAAAUGUGCUAUUGAGGUUGCGUAACCAAGCAUUGGCAUGUUGGUUGUAUGGUGCACGACAUCCGCACCGUAAAAAAACUUGGCCAAAAUGUGUCCUGCAAACUAAAACGGGGACUGCGCGGUGCAUGCUCCAGCUAUGAUGACGAAGAUGCGUUUGUUCAGCGUGAAACAGUUGCGUUGAGGUCAGUGGAAGCUAUGUUAAAAGUGCAUCAAGAGAUAUGUUCCGCAUAGUUGCCACGGAUCAGGCAUGACCCGCUGGACUUGUGCAUGGUUAAUUCAGUUUGGAAUAGGUUUUAGUGCCUGUGAGAGGGGAAAUGGGACCGAUUGAAAGUAUGAUUUUUGCACUUUAUACAGCAGUAAGAAGUUUCUGGCAUGUCGGCUGGAAGAUGAAGCAGCGGUCAGUGUUUUGUUCACAUGGCUCUUUCCUGUAUCUCGGUUGGAAAAAAAAAAUUUAUAUGGAGCAGAUUGCUCUUGAUGCCUGCUACCAUGAAUUGCAGCUUCAAUAGUGAAUGUCUCGUGCACUUGUUUGGUCUUCCUAAAAUUGAAGUUUCCUGCCACGCAUUUGAAAGAAAACAAGGUUUCUAGCCAUUUGGCUGUUGGCACAGGCAUCAUUUUCACCUUGCCAAAGCAACCUUUCAUGCAUGUCUGCUGGCUGUUCUGAGAAACCUGGCAGUCUUGGUGGUCCGUUCUUUCUUUUCAUUUCUGAAAGCCUCGUGCAGUCUAGAUGCUUCCGUGCCCUUACCACAGCUGGCAACCUGGUGCUGCCAAAAGAUUGUGUCUGUUUGUGUUCCCAUCAUCGCACCUUCCUGUUUGUUGGGCCGCCAAAGAGAUGCAGUUGGGCAGAGUUCUUGUUAUGUUUGAUAGUGUGCCCAUGUGCUUUUUUUAUGUACGGGUCGUUCUUUGUGCAUAUUUGUACCACACUGUCGUUCAGUUUGGCUUUGUUGGGUAGGCUUUGAUGCUGCACUCUAACAGCUGAUGAUGGCCGAGCUGUGCUCUUAAUAGGUAACUGUACCUGUUGCAAUGCUGGUAGUUUCGUAGGAUUGGUGAGCAGUUGCAAAGCAAGACUGCCAUUAAUAGCCAUGUGUCGCAACACUUGGCAAAUGAUGGGCAAGCAUUUAGCAAGGAAAGCUUUGUUAUUAAUAACCCAUCACAGCACUUGUCAGCAAAUGAUUAAUGAGCAGGUGGAUAAAAAAUGCUUUGCCACUAGGAAUGAUGUAUCUUGCCACACUGAUGGCAAGCAAUCAAUAAGCAAGAAUGCCACUGAUAAUUAUGCCUGUUGCGAUGCUGGUAGUUGGUAGAUAAACAGACGGUCGGUGAGCAGUUACGAAGCAAGACUUUGCCACUGACAUCCAUGCAUUGCAACACUUGGCAAAUGAUUGGCGAACAGUCGAUAAGCAAGGCUUUGCCAUUAAUGAUAACACAUCACAGCACUGGUUGUCAGCAAAUGAUGGGUGAGUAGUUGGCAAGCAAGACUGUUGCCAGGAAUGGCAUAUGUUGCAACGCUAAUGGCGUCAACAAAUGUUGGCAAGCAGCCGUAAACAUUUUGCAAUUAAUAAGUCGCAGCACUGGCGGUCGACACGAUUUAGGAGCGGUUGGUAAGCAAGACAUUGCCACUAAUAACAAUGCACAUUGCAACCCUAGUAGGCGCCAAGCGAUUACCCAGCAGACGCUAGGCAAGGUUUUACCAUUGGUAAUUGCGUGUCGUUGCACUGGCAGUCGGCAAGUCAUCGGUGAGCAAUCGGCAAGCAAGGCAUUGCUGCUGAUAAUCGGAUUUCAGUUUAGUACUUGGCAAAUGACUGUCAAGCCUCUAGUAAGCAAAACUUUGCCUUAGAACAAUAGACGGCAAAGAGAAUAAGGAUUCCCGGUUUGAAGAUAGGUGCAGAAAACACAAGACAGUAGAGGAACAAGACUGACGAGCUUGUGCCAUUCUUCCCACUCCUGUAGCACCUGCAUUUUUUUUUCUGUGCCUACUUUUUCAAAUGGUUCGUCAGGACUUUGCUGUUGAUAAUGACGAAUGCCACUGCACCUGCAUCUUAUGUGUCUACUGGGAGCUGACCGAAAUGUGUAGAAUUGGUGCCUGCUGCCGUACUCUCUAUGCUUAAAGUGAUAGUGUCGCACUGUUGAUUCUCUGAAAUUUCAAGCCGGAAUUGUACUUGUGUGGAUGUUUGGCUCGUGUGACUUGCAUCUGGGCAAUGCAGUACAGUACAGUGAAAGGCUCUUUUAUGUUUGGCCAAGCUGCACUCAAAGCUUAGCCUCAGUUUGGAAUCUCAUUUUUGCAAACAGACUGGGAACAGGAAUGAUAUGUGGAAGUGAUGCCCAGGACUAUUUGAGGCUUUGUCUUUGGCUCUUUUCUUUUAAACAGCGCUGCGCACCAAGCAAUCUUGGAAGCCUGAAAUCUAAAUUUAACUGCCAAGUGUUUGUCAUUUUGGAACACCAGCAACUCCUGCCCUUGAAGGCAUUGUUGGAAGCCACACUUGCCCACAACUUGUACUGAUAGCAUUCCCUGCCGAUUAUAAUAGUUUUCAAACGUGAGGAUCAGCAUUGUUGCAGCUUUUCCAAUCUGAUGGCCUUGGAACUGGGGUUGUUCCAAUGUAGCUCGUGGGUUGGUUGGGAAAAGUCCUCGUGUGGAUGGUUGAUCUGAGCUGAGUCUGAGCUGGUUUUGUCUGGCUGCUGCCGCAUUGGAGGAGCACCUAUUUCCGGUGGAAAAUGGGCUAGCGCGAUAUGUGAAAUACAUACACUAAACAAACGCGAAAGCCUAUUUUGAUAACCGUACGAAUGAUGCUGAAAGUGUCUGCUCAUUCAGCAGUAUCUGCCUUUCCUUGAAAGCAGCGCCGAACACAGUUCGGCUUCGAAGACAAGGUGCCUGUCACUUGCUCACAAAGCAGUGAGAAAUAAACUUCUGACGUAGGUCUGUCUGCAGUCCCACCGCCGAGGGCAACGUGCUCAAUUAAUGCAUUGGACGUGCUGCCGACACAUUCGUUGGUCACUGUUUAGUUGCCUCCUCCUGUCCUUGCCAAGAUACUAUAUGCACUAUUUCUCGAUGCAACUUUUCCACAUGCCCUUCUUCCCUCGCCCCAUCUCUUGUUGGAAUUAUUCUUGUAUAUUUUGUAGCAUCACAGCCGGGCAACUUGUUUUGUCCUCGGCUGACUUCGAUAUGUUCUUGUUUGUUUGUUUUCACUUUGACAGCUGUGUACAGGCCGAUGUUAUGUCAUGCUUCUGUACAAAUACACGAGUGCUUGUCGGAGCCAA